GCCGCCGCCCAGCUCAUUUUCCCUCCUUUGUAACCGAGAGAAGCGCGGCCGGCGGCCGGCGGUGGGGGCGGCGCGGGCGGAGGCGGGGCGGGGGCGGGGGCGGGCCGGGGACGGGGUGCGGGCGCCCGGGCUGGGGGGCGGUCGCCGAGCGCGCGGGGCGCGGGCGGGGAGAAGUUCUCAGCCCCGAGUUUCGGGCGCUCGGGAGAGAAAGCCGCGGCGCGGAUCCGCCAGCCGCCCCGCCCUCAACCCCCUCCCGCCGCCGCCUCGGCCCCGCCUUCCCCCUGGCGCAGGCCCCCGGGGCGCGGGACCCCGGCGCGACCUCGGCCCCCGGCCCGGACCCCACGUUCCCUGCCGCCCUCCCCGGCCCGCUCGCGGCCCCCCCCCCACGGCGGCCGGCCCUGCCCGCGCGGUCCAAGACCCCGGCCGGCGGAGGAACGCGAUCGGGCGAGGCUGGGAGCCGGCUGCCGCCGGGAACCCCGUCUCGCGCUGUGGGGAGGCCCCGAAAGGAAAGGGGUUUUGACAAGGAAACUGUGAAGCGAAAGAACUAAACAGGAAGAUGAAUUCAGAAUGUAUUGCUGCCACUGAGAAGUUACGUGUUGUCCUCAGAAGCAAAGAUGACUCUCCAGCAUCUGUAUGGCAUAUGUAUUUUCAGAGGGAGAAUGGAUCUGUGCCAGUUGUCUCUGGCCUGAAUUAAAGGAACUGAAGUAGCACAAGUUUAGGUGACCUAUACCAAGUUCCCAGUGAGUCAUUAGUGAAACUGGCACAUGGAAUUCAGAGCUCUCACCACUGACUUUUAUGUCCCAGCUGUUGGGUAAUGUCCAAUCUUACGGGUUCCUUUUUGUUAUUGUUGUUGUUUUGACAAAGAGAAAAUUAAAAUUAAAAAAC
ensembl:lncRNA